rnacentral:sRNA from 1 species
GCUGGGCACAGUGGUGUACACCUGUAAUCCCAGUGGCUCAGGAGGCUGAGACAGGAGGAUCAUGAGUUCAAAGCCAGCCUCAGCAAUGGCAAGGCACUAAGCAACUCAGUGAGACCCUGUCUCUA